UGGCCGACUUUGUCGCAUCAACUCGUUACCAGCCUCACUAUUUCAGUGGGAGAAGAACACACACAUCUGUCACAUACCUAAGCAAUGGUAGAGGUCAUAUACUGUAAACUACUCGGCAGUGUCAAUAAUGUAUGGGCCAGAGUCACGGGCCAGAGUUAGGCACACUCAAAAUUUCUUCAGGGUUAGGGUUAGGGUUAGUUACUUAGUGGGUGGAUGUCAAGGACUCCUGCAUGGGCUCGGUGAGACAGACAACACUGAUGUAGCAGAGUCAGAAGUUACAAUUUAAUUUUAUGUAACUACUUUAGAAAAUACAAGUCUGCUCUUCCUUCCUUUUUUAGCUGACGCUGAAACCAUCGAGACCUGCUUCAUUUAAUGAACCUCGCAGGAUGUUUGGUCUGAAGGUCACUGGAGACCCAGAAGCCACAGUGGGUCUGGUGGCAGUUGACAAAGGGGUCUAUGUCCUAAACAACAAGCACCGCCUCACGCAGAAAAAGAUUUGAAGUGUCCAUCCCCCAUCGGAGGAAACGGGCCAGCAUGAUAAGGAAUGUCAAGAAGUGAGGAGGAUGACAGUUACAUGGACAGCAAUGAAA